GAUGAACGCUGGCGGCGUGCCUAAUACAUGCAAGUCGAGCGAACAGACGAGGAGCUUGCUCCUCUGACGUUAGCGGCGGACGGGUGAGUAACACGUGGAUAACCUACCUAUAAGACUGGGAUAACUUCGGGAAACCGGAGCUAAUACCGGAUAAUAUAUUGAACCGCAUGGUUCAAUAGUGAAAGACGGUUUUGCUGUCACUUAUAGAUGGAUCCGCGCCGCAUUAGCUAGUUGGUAAGGUAACGGCUUACCAAGGCGACGAUGCGUAGCCGACCUGAGAGGGUGAUCGGCCACACUGGAACUGAGACACGGUCCAGACUCCUACGGGAGGAAGCAGUAGGGAAUCUUCCGCAAUGGGCGAAGGCCUGACGGAGCAACGCCGCGGGAGUGAUGAAGGUCUUCGGAUCGUAAAACUCUGUUAUUAGGGAAGAACAAAUGUGUAAGUAACUAUGCACGUCUUGACGGUACCUAAUCAGAAAGCCACGGCUAACUACGUG
rnacentral:rRNA from 1 species